UACGUAGGGGGCAAGCGUUGUCCGGACUUACUGGGCGUAAAGCGCGCGCAGGCGGACCUGUAUGUGCCGCGUGAAAGCGCCGGGCUCAGCCCGGCGAGGUCGUGGUACACAGCAGAUCUUGAGCCUCGGAGAGGCCGGUAGAAUUCCGGGUGGAGCGGUGAAAUGCGUAGAUAUCCGGAGGAAUACCAGAGGCGAAGGCGGCCGGCUGGCCGAGUGCUGACGCUGAGGCGCGAAGGCGUGGGGAGCAAACCGG
rnacentral:misc_RNA from 1 species